GGUCAAUCAGAGAUUCAGGCCAUGAUUCAACAGUUCCCAUACAAAUGGCAUACAACCAGGGGUUUCCAGCAUCUAGAUGGGCAUAAGAUCUGUAUCAUUCUCCCUUUCUUUGUAGUGUUAACUCUAAUAAACAACUGUUUAAGUAGUAUUUUACAGAGUCAAAGUGCCUUUUUUACAGAGCCUGAGUUCCUUAUUUUACAGAGUCUCAUUGCCUGGGAUCAUAACAGACAAGAACCUUCUGGUGCAGAACAGCUCCCCAACAUUCUCAUUUUUCAAUAUAAUUGAUUUGAUGAUUUAACAUUUACCUCUGAAUCUUGCAGUUAGGAAGCUAGGGAUUGUUGUCCCCUAGCUAUCGCCUCUGUGACUAUUUUGUGUACCAGUUAUUUAACUUUACUAAAGAAAGGGACAACUUAACCUCCUGUUCUGGUAGUCAGCAUACUCACAGUUCUUCUCCACAUGCAUUUGUCUCGCUUUUUGAUCAGCCACCUGUAGUAAUGCGUAAGAGCCAGUGUGAAGUAACUCUUACAUUAGUACUGUGAGUGUUCUCAUGCACAGCUGUCCAGUCCUGGCUUUCAGGCUGUUACUCUCCCUUUCCACUGAGAAGCAGCCUCCUCCCAGGAUGCUGCUGCACAUCCUACAGUCCUGCACUGGCUAAAUAUUAAACCGACAUCAUCACUCUUUCCUGUCAUUAAGGGAUCCUAAGCAGGCAGAAGAGACUAAUUAAUAUUCUUCCUUUCCACCUGCAGCAGGGAAGAAACUUAAAUGAGCUUCCCUUUGGGUUUGUGGAAACAGGGAUGCGCAUACCUAACAAGUGUGUGUGCACAAGAUGUGAGUGUACUCAGCUGUAUCUGCACACAUUUUUUGUAAUUAAUCUCUCAUUUUAAAUAUAAAAUGGAAAUUUCUGAAGUUAAUGGAUAUGAUAGCUUGCAGUUUCCAUGCAUGGCCUUUCCCAUUAAUUGCUGACAUCAAAUUAGUCACACCAUUAGAAACUGAAGCUGAACCUUGGCUAUUCACAGCCUUGGCCUUCUGACAAAAGAGCCUCAGGAGCUUGUCACAUUGCUUCCAGUUACAGAAAAAUACACAUCUCCUUCCUGACAGAAGAGCUGCAUCCUCAGGAUACUCCUUACAGCUCAAGGCUGAAGGAGGACUGAGUUGCAGACUGCAAUGAACAGCAGUUAUUGAAAUCUGAAAAGCUGAAGAUUGGCGAAAUCCUGGGGGGAAGCUGCAAUGCCAGGACCAAAGGACCAAAAUGGAGGUCUCUCUCGCAACCCUGGUUUCCUCAGUGGAGUAUUUUGGCGGUGGGGGAUGUUCACAGAGUCUGGGAUCUGAACACUCUGGCAGCAGCCAAGGGCCCUUCAGUGUAGCUCUCUGAAUCCUGCAGUGGAUUAUCUCAUCCUCUGCUCCUUCCCCUGCCUAUGGGAUAGCUUCAGCAUCCUGGUGGUGGGUUCACAGAUAACCUGCUAGCCUGCACACUCUUCACCCAAACAGCAACUGUUACCAAUAUCAUCACCAGUUAUUUCCUGUAUCUUUUGGAACAACACACUAAAAUACAUGAAAAUAAAAUAAAAUUCUAGUUAACCUUUGGAAUGUCUCAAAUUGUUUCAGAGAUUUUCCAAAGCACUCAGGGAAUCUGGGCUGGUGCUGCUACCAUACCCCAUUGCCUUAAACCAGUAGUUCUUACUGCAGGUAACAAGAUUUCAAAUGCACAAUUUAAUCCACAAAUGUCUAGUACUGAGAGAUGGAAUUCACUGUAGACGUAUAAGUUAUUUACUGUUGGUAGAACAUCAGGCAUUGUCUCUGUGUAGUAGAAAAUGGUUUGCUUUUUCGUCAAGAUUAAAAAAAUCAACUGUUGUUUUAAACAUCUUUGUCAGUCCAAUUCAGCUCAUCAUUUUGUUACAUCUUUUGUAGGAAACAUUUGUAGAAUAGAUUUGACUUCUAACCACCCUGUGCAGAUGGCAGGGAAGAUUUAACUCUGCUAUGAUGCUUCACAAAAACACCAAAAACAUAAUACAUUCAUAAAUUAUUUCUUACUGAUGUAAAAAUCCCAUCCCUUUCCAGUUGAGCUCACCUGUGCUGUAGGAAUACAGAAUGGCACACAUUUCCCUGGUAUCAGGAGAAAAACAUGCUGGCAAUCAAUCUGCUGAAGGGUUACUGUUUGACUCAUGAUACUCAUACUCUUACCAUUUUUUAGGAAAAAUAUCCGUGACUAGAAGAAAGAAGAGGGCAUUCAGUUACACUGAAUUUUGCAACUAUUUGUUCUUCCAUUCCGUUUAAGUAUACAGAAAAAUGGAAAUGCUGCAUCACUGUGUCACUUGCAUGAUCUACUGCUGUUUGUUGAUCCCUCCCUCAGGAAGACACAAAAGGGACCACUAUUCUCAUCACCUCUGCAUCUAUAAAAGAAGUCAGCUGUGUAAGCUAAAAUGAGCCAUAUCAAAGCAACUUUGAUCACUUUAUUAGCUGUCAAGCCCCUUUCAAAGCCAGCACUGUCUGCCUUAAUGGGUUGUAUUACUUUCAAAUGUCAUAUUUAAUGUGUGUUGUUCCAGAUCCCUGAUACUAUCUGAGGUGCUGAUUGCAGAGCACAGUACCAACAGCCUUGCAGGUGGGUCUGUUAGUUUCAGCAUAUUCCUAGUUCUCAACAGCAUGUGAUUUAAUUGCAGAAUUGGUGAAGCAAGGGCAUCAUGAGAGUCCAUCUGCAUUUUUUCUCUAUGUGCACAGCCACAAAGUCAUCUUGCAGUGUAGAUUUGCAUGAGUUAUGUGACUGUAAAAAAAUACUCCAGUUCGCAAGGCUAUCAACUCUUUGUCAUGAAACAAAAACACCUGCCAGAAGAGUUUUAUUCUUGAUAAUCACAGCACAAAU
rnacentral:lncRNA from 1 species